UACAGAGGUCUCAAGCGUUGUUCGGAUUCAUUGGGCGUAAAGGGUGCGUAGGCGGCGCGGUAAGUCGGGUGUGAAAGCCCCGGGCUCAGCCCGGGAAGGGCACUAGAAACUGCCGAGCUGGAGUGCCGGAGGGGAGAGUGGAAUUCCUGGUGUAGCGGUGAAAUGCGCAGAUAUCAGGAGGAACACCGAUUGCGAAGGCAGCUCGCUGGGACGUCACUGACGCUGAGACGCGAAAGCGUGGGGAGCGAACAGG
rnacentral:rRNA from 1 species